rnacentral:misc_RNA from 1 species
AACAAACCAAACUGGAUCACCAGAGAAUGCUGGAUAUUUACACUAUGCGAAAAGCACAGGCAGUAAAUACAAUAUUCUGAUAUCUAAAAAGAGUAAUAAACUAGACAUGCUGAAGGUCCCUCCUUGCAGUCUAUAGAAUUCAUUCUUCAUGAUACAGAUACAAGCCAAGGCCAAACCGGGCACAUGCUCUGCAAAAAGCUAUUUCCUCUGCUGCAGAAACAGGAUCUUCAAUG